AAGACUACACCCUAAAAUGUCCAAAGUGUCAAAGUAAAAAUGUCAAUAAACAGUGAUAAUGGAACUGUGGUAUGUGCUGACAAUAUUACAUUAUAGCACUCCCUCUCAUGUAUUAAUGCUUAAUUGACUUCUAUUAAAUACAAUUUUAUUCAAUUCUAAAAGAUAAUUUUACAUGAAGCAUUGUUCCACCUCACUAAAGGGCAGGAUCACAUGAUGCUGCUGGAUGGCAAAUUAAGCCUGUAAGACGAGGUGUUGAGUGAGUGGGUGGAGCUGAGUGUGUAGUAGAGAGGAUAGUAGAGAGGAGAGCUGAAACUCAGUGUGUUCUUCUCCCAGUGUGUGCUACACCACCAUGAUCAUUUUCACUGUACUGCUGCUCUCUGCUCUUACAGGUAACAGAGCUGAAGACGUCAUCACUCCUAGCAGAGAUGCUGUUUUUGCUGUUGAAGGUCAGAAUGUUACCCUCUCCUGUAACUACACUGUAAGUGCUGACAGUCUUCACUGGUAUCAACAGUAUUCAGGCUCUCCUCCCCAGUUCCUCAUACUGGACUAUGCAGGGAGCAUUACUGAAGCUCAACCUCCAGUUCCUGGAAUAUUCAUCAACCAUCAAAAAGGAAUAAAAAAAGUGAAUCUGAUCAUCUCCUCUACUGCAGUAUCAGACUCUGCUCUCUACUACUGUGCUCUGAGGCCCACAGUGGCAGGAAACCCACCAAACACUGUACUAAAACCUUUCUUGUGA